rnacentral:tRNA from 1 species
GUGGGCGUAGCUCAGUUGGUAGAGCACAGGAUUGUGGCUCCUGGUGUCGUGGGUUCGAUUCCCUUCGCCCACCCCA